UACGUAGGCGGUUUUUUAAGUCAGGUGUGAAAGCGUGAGGCUUAACCUCAUUAAGCACUUGAAACUGGAAGACUUGAGUGAAGGAGAGGAAAGUGGAAUUCCUAGUGUAGCGGUGAAAUGCGUAGAUAUUAGGAGGAAUACCGGUGGCGAAGGCGACUUUCUGGACUUUUACUGACGCUCAGGUACGAAAGCGUGGGUAGCAAACA
rnacentral:rRNA from 1 species